rnacentral:rRNA from 1 species
UUAAACAUGAGAGUUUGAUCCUGGCUCAGGAUGAACGCUGGCGGCGUGCUUAACACAUGCAAGUCGAACGAAGCAGUUUAUCACGAUCCCUUCGGGGUGACGAUUUACUGACUGAGUGGCGGACGGGUGAGUAACGCGUGGGUAACCUGCCUUGUACAGGGGGACAACAGUUGGAAACGACUGCUAAUACCGCAUAAGCGCACGGAAUCGCAUGAUUUUGUGUGAAAAGAUUUAUCGGUACAAGAUGGACCCGCGUCUGAUUAGCUAGUUGGUGAGGUAAUGGCC